rnacentral:lncRNA from 1 species
CAGUCUCCUGAUUAUUGAAUACAGCUGUUUGUGCUAUCUCACUAGUGUUUUUGAAACAGUCAAUGUUUUUCUGAGGACCACUAGUUUGGAUUGGGGUUGUUAGUUUUAUGUGUAGCAAAGCUAAAUGUUAUCAUAUUCAAUUUUAAAUAAGUUGCUUCAUUCUGUGUGUAAAACAAAAUAAUUUCAAUAUACUUGAUUUCAUAGUUAACUAAUGUAGAGUUGAUCAAAAAAUAUCUUCCCUAGUAUGAUGCACAGAGAUUAGAUUAGACUGUUACAGAAUAAUGUGAUAAUAAUGAUUUCCUUAAGAGAGUACAAAAGCAGCAUCUAAGUUUUAACUGACAUCUAUUGACACACAGCAUCAGUUGGGAGCCCAAUCAAACCUCCUAUUCUUUUCUGUUUACCACCUCCUGCUUUUAUUUACAGUCAGCAUAUCUGUUAAUUAGCUUCAGGUAGAAUCAGUUCUUCUAAGAAGAUCUCUUGUCUUCCUGGUGAUGGCCCCAUGAGGUGACCCAUGUACACACAGUCUGAACAGGACGUGAGUCCUGCAAAUGCUGAAGAUUUUUGCAUGAAAAUAAAGCAUGCAAGGGUAAGUGUCAUGCACAAGUUUUAGCCUGAGAACUUGGGGCAUGUGGAUGCUUUUGCAUCAGCAAUGA